AGUUACGAAUACAUGCGUGGUAGCCUCUUCAAAACAAAAUUUCACUGCACUUUGAACAUAUUCUUUCCCGCUUGAGAUUCUUUCAAUAUUUUCCGGCGAUUGAAAUAUCCUCAUUUCUCAAAAACUGAACAAGGUAAAUUUUAAUUUUCUCGGUCAUUCAAAUUUCCCUGCAUCAGAACAGCAACAUUUCUCGCUCGCGGAUUGAAGCUUGGAAGGAAAGCAUCAUGCAUGGCCAAAUGUCGCUUUUUCAACUGUAAUUUUUCCACUACAGUUGGUUGGUUGUUUCCAGAUGACAGAGCUGAAAAAGGGAACCUCUUCUGUUGAUCCAAAGGAGAAAGGUUCACUGCUAGUUGAAGCAGAUGAUGGAAUUGGAAAGGAAUUCCUUAGCUCCUGGAAAUCAACGUCAAUGAUGGAAGAUGUUGCACUGGAUUUUGGUUUAGAAACAGUACCUAAAGGAAACAAAAAG